AAAUGUAUAAGACCACACAGUAGCAAGAGGCCAUAUAAUAGCGAGCCACUUUUGUCUGCUAGUGAAUGAUUCCCGUCUGAAUUCACACCACCAUGCCGAAUCUCCGACGAGUGCACCGUUUUCGCGACCACCCCACCGCAGGCGUCAACUGGCGACCGACGCGUUUUGUCGACGAAGUGCCCAGUUCGUACGUGUGUAACUUCUGCCUCAUGGUUCCAAAGAGGAUUCUGCUGUUGCCGUGCGGGCACACUCUGUGCAAAUCGUGUCACGCAGCCAACUCCCGAGGAUGCCAUGGGCGGUGUCCCUUGGAUCAAGAGCCGUUCGGAGAAGCUGAAUGUGGCAGUUAUGAUUUCCCCACCAGAAUAGCGAACGCCUUGAAGGUUUGUUGCUGGAACGAAGCUCAUGGAUGCGAAUUUCAGGGUGCCAUAGAAGAUAUGCUGGAACACUAUGAGAACGAAUGCACAUUCCAUUCAGUGGAAUGUCUGCGAUGCGGCGAAGGAGUUCUGCACAGGGAACUAGCAACGCACUACGCUGUCGGAUGCAGUACCGGUGUUUCUUCAACGCGCACAAAGAACACGUCCUCAGAGUCUGGAGCACUGACACUUCAAGACAUCAGGAAUGCUCUGAAAGAAGCCAAGAGAUUGUUGAGGGGCUCUGACCACGAUCAGGUGCUGCCUAGUAUUCAGAGUCAUUUGAACGAGCUGACGGAACAAGUCAGAAACCUAGAAUCCAGGUUGGCCGAAAACACACGUGAGGUUAGGUCAUCUGUAAAUGCAGGGACUGCUCAACACACGGCCAUUGCUUCCUCGGCUGUCUUUCAGGAACCAACAUCUCGGCAACGUCCUGCGAACGAAGCCAGCACGCCAACGUCGACACUGUCCUGCUCGCAGCAAAUGUUGAGAAAUCAAAAGCCGGAAGACCUCUUCGACCUUUCACCUCUUGUUCGCGAACUGAUGCAGAAAACUUCUGAACAAGAUUACCCUCAACAUGCUAUCGAAUAUGUUUGGUCUCCUCCCGGACAGCGAUGUUACUUAAAGUUGACCACACCUCUGUCGACGACACGUUCAUGGAGACAAUUGCUUGGGACGGUGACUUAUGUCCUAGUUCUCAGUCGGCCAGAUUUUUUACGUUCAGAUGUUAGAAAACCGUUUUGUCGUAUUACAGUAUUGCACACUCGAGACUCGUACUUUACCGUAGAAGUACGUAAAAAUCACAUUCCUGUUUUGCGCGAUACUAGAGUCAAUGUGGAGAUCGUGUUUUUUGGGGUGGUGUUCGGCUCUUGUUCGGCGCCUUCUUUCAACGUCAGCGGCUACCACGGUGAAGAAGUGAAACCAUUUACGUUCUGUCCCCGUGUUUCGCCUUGCAGUUGUGCGGACAUUGGACACUCACGAGUACAUUUUCACGCCACAUUUCAUAUACUGCACGACGAAAUCGAAGGUGUUGGUCGCCAUAGCAAUUGGAUGCAGCUUAGAAUCCAGUUCUAACAAAAACACACAGGUGACCCACUCGAGCUCCUAGAAUUGUGUUCCAGUAGUCGCUGGUUUAUGCUUCUAAUCUUUCAACUGCGCAACAUACCCUGAUAGAGCGCAAGUAAAAAAAAAAAAGCACUCGGGCUGACGAAGACGUUACGUCGUCUAAGUGGGAUGCUGCGCUACGCAGUCCACAUUUGGAAGCACAACUAUGGGCAGUCCAACGGGCCUGCGACGUGACGGAGAGGUUAGGCCUAUCUGUCCCUACGUGGGAGCUGC
rnacentral:misc_RNA from 1 species